rnacentral:rRNA from 1 species
CCUACGGGAGGCAGCAGUGAGGAAUAUUGGUCAAUGGACGAGAGUCUGAACCAGCCAAGUAGCGUGAAGGAUGACUGCCCUAUGGGUUGUAAACUUCUUUUAUAUGGGAAUAAAAUGUUCCACGUGUGGGAUUUUGUAUGUACCAUAUGAAUAAGGAUCGGCUAACUCCGUGCCAGCAGCCGCGGUAAUACGGAGGAUCCGAGCGUUAUCCGGAUUUAUUGGGUUUAAAGGGAGCGUAGGUGGAUUGUUAAGUAAGUUGUGAAAGUUUGCGGCUCAACCGUAAAAUUGCAGUUGAAACUGGCAGUCUUGAGUACAGUAGAGGUGGGCGGAAUUCGUGGUGUAGCGGUGAAAUGCUUAGAGAACACGAAGAACUCCGAUUGCGAAGGCAGUUCACUGGACUGCAACUGACACUGAGGCUCGAAAGUGUGGGUAUCAAACAGGAUUAGAUACCCCUGUAGUC